rnacentral:rRNA from 1 species
AUGUUGUGGAUCCAUUCGAGGGGUAGACGGAGCAGGGCGACGGUUCUUGCCGGCGCCAAGGAGGGCAAACAGGAGAGCGUCCCGGAGACAUAUAAUUCUGUCGAUGCUGCCGCAUCUGAGAGCGGCAAGAACCAUGAUCUUGAGGAACCUUCGCCUAAGUCGGACGAGGUCGCGGCGGUGUCUCGCAACACGACAUUCAUCGCCGCGGGAGUUUACGAUGGCGCCGGCUCUGAGCCUGUUCUUGGCGCAUCGCCGUCCUCGGUGUCGUCGCCCGCGGUGGUCACUCAUGAAGACCAUCUGGAGAGAAGCAGCACAAGGGCAAGCAACUGA